rnacentral:rRNA from 1 species
AACGAACGCUGGCGGCAGGCUUAACACAUGCAAGUCGAACGCCCCGCAAGGGGAGUGGCAGACGGGUGAGUAACGCGUGGGAAUCUACCCAUCUCUACGGAAUAACUCAGGGAAACUUGUGCUAAUACCGUAUACGCCCUUCGGGGGAAAGAUUUAUCGGAGAAGGAUGAGCCCGCGUUGGAUUAGCUAGUUGGUGGGGUAAAGGCCUACCAAGGCGACGAUCCAUAGCUGGUCUGAGAGGAUGAUCAGCCACAUUGGGACUGAGACACGGCCCAAACUCCUACGGGAGGCAGAAGUGGGGAAUAUUGGACAAUGGGCGCAAGCCUGCUCCAGCCAUGCCGCGUGAGUGAUGAAGGCCCUAGGGUUGUAAAGCUCUUUCACCGAUGAAGAUAAUGACUGUAGUCGGAGAAGAAGCCCCGGCUAACUUCGUGCCAGCCGCCGCGGUAACAC